UACAGGGGGGGCAAGCGUUGUUCGGAAUUACUGGGCGUAAAGGGCCAGUAGGCGGCCAACUAAGUCACACGUGAAAUCCCCAGGCUUAACCUGGGAACUGCGUGUGAUACUGGAUGGCUUGAAUUCGGGAGAGGGAUGCAGAAUUCCAGGUGUAGCGGUGAAAUGCGUAGAUAUCUGCAGGAACACCCGUGGCGAAAGCGGCGCGCUGGACCACUACUGACGCUGAGGAACGAAAGCUAGGGGAGCAAACAGG
rnacentral:rRNA from 1 species